GACAGGGGAUGCAAGCGUUAUCCGGAAUGAUUGGGCGUAAAGCGUCUGUAGGUGGCUUUUUAAGUCUGCCGUCAAAUCCCAGGGCUCAACCCUGGCCAGGCGGUGGAGACUACUAAGCUGGAGUACGGUAGGGGCAGAGGGAAUUUCCGGUGGAGCGGUGAAAUGCGUAGAGAUCGGGAGGAACACCAGAGGCGAAAGCGGCGACCUGGACAGGUACUGACACUCAACUACGAAAGCGUGGGGAGCAAACAGG
rnacentral:rRNA from 1 species